rnacentral:rRNA from 1 species
UUAGGUCGGACCCGCUGAAUUUAAGCAUAUCAUUAAGGGGAGGAAAAGAAACCAACUGGCAUUCCCUUAGUAACGGCGAGUGAACAGGGAGAAGCCCAUCGGUGAAGAAUCGCAAGAUUCGGUGUCCGGUUCGGAUUGGUGCUUAGUUCAUGCACAUCAAUGCUAGAAAUCUGUUGGAAAACAGUUUCAUAGAGGGUGAAAAACCCGUAUUAGUGUUUUUGUCAUGGACAUCAUGGGCCCAAUCUAAUGAGUAGAGCUAUUUGAAAGUGUAGCUCGAAGUGGAGAUAUGUCUCUCCAAAGGCUAAAUAUAAUUGCAAGUCCGAUAGCGAACAAGUACCGUGAGGGAAAGUUGAAAAGCACUCUGAAGAGAGAGUGAAAAGUACGUGAAACUGUUGAAGGGGAAUUGAAGGGAACGUUACUGUGUUCAUUGCCGUCAAUUUAUUGAUGGCUUCCGAACUGUGGUGUUGCUUUUGAAAGCUAUUGAUAUAGACCACAGUNCACCAAUCGUUUUCGAACUUUUGGUUGAUGUGAGUCAAGAACUUGGAUUAGAUUAAUCCUUGAAUUGUGCAAGUAAAAUCAACAUCAUGAUCAGUGUUCUCUACAACCCGUCUUGAAACACGGACCAAGGAGUUUGAGUUGCUCGCAAGUGAUUGUGCUCUUUGAAAGCAUACACGCGGAAUGAAAGUAAAUAUUGCAUUGUUUCGACUUUGUAAUUACUAUGUGGUGAUAGCACUAGAACAGUGUCUGGCAGCCACGGGCGGUCUAACCACUUCGGUGUGUGAUCGACCUUUAGCGAGUAGCUCAAGACCCGAAAGAUGGUGAUCUAUGCUCGGGCAGGGCGAAGCCACGGGAAACCAUGGUGGAGGCCCGAAGCGGUUCUGACGUGCAAAUCGAUCGUCUGACCUGAGUAUAGGGGCGAAAGACUAAUCGAACCAUCUAGUAGCUGGUUUCCUCCGAAGUUUCCCUCAGGAUAGCGAAGGCUUAUGCAAAUCUGCGAAAGCAGUUUCAUUGGGUAAAGCGAAUGAUUAGAGGUCUGGGGGAAUUUAUUUCCUUCACCUAUUCUCAAACUUUAAAUCGGUGAGAUGUCCUUGUGACUUAAUUGCACUCGGACUUUGAAUGCAAGCCUUCAGUGGGCCGUUUUUGGUAAGCAGAACCGGCGAUGUGGGAUGAACCAAAUGUUGGGUUAAGGCGCCUAACUACUUGCUCAUGAGUAACCACAAAAGGUGUUGAUUGAUAUUGACAGCAGGACGGUGGCCAUGGAAGUUGGAAUCCGCUAAGGAGUGUGUAACAACUCACCUGCCGAAUCAAUCAGCCCUGAAAAUGGAUUGCACUAGAGCUCGUGGCCUAUACCCAGCCGUGAAUGUCAAUUUCUGUCAAGUUGCGGUCUUUUGACUGUGCAAGAUGGAAUAUGAUUGAUGCGUAAUCAAUAGAUUGCGUGGAUGAAGCAUUCAUGAGUAGGAGGACGCAGUAAUUGCGUUAAAGGAUACGCGUGAGCGUGUUCCCUAAGCGAUUACUGGCGCAGAUCUUGGUGGAAGUAGCAAGUACUCAAAUGAGAACUUUGAGGACUGAAGUGGAGAAGGGUUCCANC